rnacentral:tRNA from 1 species
UCUUGGUAAGCUCACUUGGUAGAACGCUCCACUGGAAAUGGAGAGGUUCCUGGUUCAAUACAAGGAUCAUGCG